rnacentral:rRNA from 1 species
AUAACGACUCUCGGCAACGGAUAUCUCGGCUCUCGCAUCGAUGAAGAACGUAGCGAAAUGCGAUACUUGGUGUGAAUUGCAGAAUCCCGUGAACCAUCGAGUCUUUGAACGCAAGUUGCGCCCCAAGCCUUUAGGCCGAGGGCACGUCUGCCUGGGUGUCACAAA